rnacentral:misc_RNA from 1 species
UAAAAAAGAUAUUUACAUUCCCAGGGUACAUAACUUGAAUCGUAAAAUACAUUGUGCAGCUCUGAAAGUAAGAGAAAAACUAGCCCUAAAUAUAUCUAUUAUACCUUUGGCCGUGAUGGCAUGGAUAUCAAUGAUAACUCCUCCAUGGUGUAAAUACCAGGUGGAGGUAAGUAUAUCACAUCUUCCUCUGGUGGAUCAUUAGGUGGGGUUAAGUUUAUCCUCUUCUCCUUUGGUGGCUCUCCGGGUGGGGGUAAGUU